AGUGAACGCUGGCGGUAGGCCUAACACAUGCAAGUCGAACGGCAGCACAGUAAGAGCUUGCUCUUACGGGUGGCGAGUGGCGGACGGGUGAGGAAUACAUCGGAAUCUACUUUUUCGUGGGGGAUAACGUAGGGAAACUUACGCUAAUACCGCAUACGACCUACGGGUGAAAGCAGGGGAUCUUCGGACCUUGCGCGAUUGAAUGAGCCAAUGUCGGAUUAGCUAGUUGGCGGGGUAAAGGCCAACCAAGGCGACGAUCCGUAGCUGGUCUGAGAGGAUGAUCACCCACCCUGGAACUGGGACACCGUCCAUACUCCUACGGGAGGCACCAGUGGGGAAUAUUGGACAAUGGUCGCAAGCCUUAUCCAGCCAUACCGCGUGGGUGAAGAAGGCCUUCGGUUUGUAAAGCCCUUUUGUUGGGAAAGAAAAGCAGCAGGUUAAUACCCCGCUGUUCUGACGGUACCCAAAGAAUAAGCACCGGCUAACUUCGUG
rnacentral:rRNA from 1 species